GCCUUGUUCCCCCAAUUCCCCCAAUUCCCCCAAACCCUCAUCUCUUCCUCUUAUUCUCUCACCCCCAAACCAUUAAUCUACCCAUUUCUGGGGUACAUUAACCAUAGCCGCCGGAGCAGUUCAAGACUCGUACUCCCUCUCUUCCUUGUGCUUGUUUACAUUUUACCCUCUAUUUUGUUGCUUCAUUGAUGCGGUGUUGGAGGCGAAAAGCGCACAUGGGUGCCGUUUGGUUCACAAAUUAAAGCCCCAAACCAGACUCGCAAACACGCGGUGUUGCUACCGCUCAAUUGUGUCAUCACGAGAAAAUCACCAUGCCCUUCACAAGAGAGUGGAUCAGCUUUGUACCAGUGCAAUUAAGUGGACGGAGUUAAAGAGGAAAACAAAGGAUGUUGAUAUGAAGGUCAUCUCGUUUACUCAGCAAGGUACCUUUAUAUAUAUUAUGUUAGCCAAUGGCGUAAUAAUUUCCCGUGUUACACUUCCUCAACCCGAUUCUACUGGUGGUACAUUGACUGAUUGACAUAAGAGGGCUGUUUCGAGAUGCUUUGUUUAACGGGUUCAUUCAUGCCUUCUGGCCGGGAGUGGUGGCAUUAGGAAUGUGUGAGGGGGUCGAAAAAGCGCGAGGCUAAUGCGUGACCUGUCCCUCGUGGGUGUGACGAUUAUUUUUAUUCAAUCAAGUGUAAUUGGAUUUCCUGUGAGUAUACACCCAAUUGACUAGUAAUAUAGGAGUCGCCAUUCAGUUUUUAACGACAAUGAGAAAAACUGACAAAACCCGGUUAUCGUGACAUAAAGGGAGUACAAUUAUGUUUGAUCGACCACGACGGCCGUAGGUUCCCUUGUGAUCCCUGGUGUGGGGAUCUCUCAAUAUACACCCGCAAGGUAGAGAUUGAGGGUUCGGGGGACUGUAACUAACCAGAGGAGUAAUUCGCUCGUUGAUAACUCCAGAGGCAGGAUAUUCUUACUAGCUCAGCAUAAAUAAUUGAAGGGACAUGCGUUAACUAUUAAACUAAUCUGAAUUGAUUUUAGCAGUAUGCAACAUAUAAUACUAAUUCGAUCGUGAUUAUCUGAUUUCAAUAUCAUUAAGGGACCUAGCAUGAUAAUCCGAUUUCCCAAAAAUAUUAUAUUUAUUAGGCGUGAUAGAAUAAUCAUAUUAGGUUAGUUUAACAGUUCAUAAAAAGGGCGAGGAAAGCAGUUAAAUCAUCGAAAAGGGAUACAUUACGACGCACCCUUGAGAGGUGCGUCAGGGUUCUCAGAAAACUAACCACUUUGACUUUGCUAUUUCUCCUUUUUAUUUAACGAAUCUCGAUUAUGGGACAGGAUACGUUCUGUUCGAUUUAUGGAUCGAUUGCGACAGAACGCGUGAACAGUUUCCCAGCGAGAGGCUUGAGCUCAGGGGUUUUGAGUCAAUACUCAGAAUAUAUUAUGUGUUGUUGUGUGUUGUUUCACGUCGAAACUAGGGGUCUAUUUAUAGGGAAGAGUUCGUGGAAAGAUAGAAUUGCAGAGUUCUAAUCCACAAAGAAUUAGGAAAAGAAACGUACCCAGGUAUUUUCAGCGCCCAGGCCUGGUCGCCGAAGAUUUCGGCGCCCAGAGACAGGCGUUGAAAAUAGGGUCUGGGCAGUUUUUGUUUAGUCAGAUUCGGAUUCUAAAAUCCGUAGAGUUUGAGAUUAAUUUGAGUCUUUUAGCGCGUAUCAAUUUGUGACGGAAUGCGUCUGGGCCCGUUACGAACUCUAGGCUCGUUAGGAUUUUAAUUAAUACGUAACUCUUAUUUCCGAAUCCUAUUAGGAAUAGGAUUCUCGCGGUUUUCUAUCUCAUUUAGGAUUUAUGUUGGAAUGCAACAUCUAAUUCUGACAGGUUUCUAUCUUUUAUGAUUUUCCACUUUUAGGAGCUACCUUUUACGGCAGUUACUAUUUUUAGCAGGUUUCCAUAAAUAGCAGGUUUCGGGUAAAAUGAAAUGGGGAAUCGAGAUUCGUUUAUUUUAUAGGAGAUGUGUUGUCAAGUGGAGUUUUUAUGCUUUCAUCAUUGAACCUUUUCCUUGCGGGAAUGGGGACAAAAGUAGGUGUCUAUAGUUAGCCCCCACUUUGACUGAGUCUUGGAAUAAGACGAUGGUCAAAGUAUUAGACGGAGUGCGUCGCACAAGCCAUGGUGUAUGUGACCUUUUUUGCGAGGGUCUCACGAGCCCCCGAGUGAUAACAUUUGACUUAAGGGUCAUCACUUGAAGUGUCGACAUAUCCCUCACGUGUCAUUGGGAUUUGUCAACUGAUAGUAUAAAAACUUCCUCACUUUGUCAUUGGAAGGAUCUAAAGAUGUGUAGAAACCCCCUUACUUUGUCAUUGGGAGUAACUACAGAUGUUUUCGAAAUUAAAGCUGUAAAGUGUAAUUGGGCCUGGCCAAGCCCAAUCACGAGGUAAAACGUUUUUAAAGAUUCUCCAUUUCAGGGCUGGAUAAACGAGAAAACCCCCUUGUUUUUAUAGGAAGUAAAACGAAGGAAAAUCCAGUACCCUUGUUUUUAUAGGAAGUAAAACGAAGGAAAAUCCAGUAAAAGUUAUCGCUGCAGCGACUAAGGACCUGCGCUGUUAGUGACGCAGACCCCGCCCGCUGAAGGUGGGCGAUCCUGUCCUCUGAGGGGGACCCCCGUCCGAUAGAAGUGGACGAAUCUGUUUGAUGUUUUUGAAAAUAAGGACCUACGGGGUUUGUGAAGUAGACCCCGCCCACUGAAGGUGGCGAACCUUGUCCGCUGAGGGUGGACACCCCGUCCGCUGAAGUGGACGAAUCUGUUUAAAUUUUUUUUGAAAAAAAGGACCUACGCGGUUUGUGACGUAGACCCCGCCCGCUGAACGUGGCGAACCUUGUCCGCUGAGGGUGGACACCCCGUCCGCUGAAGUGGACGAAUCUGUUUUGAAAUUUUAUUUUGUUUUGUUUUUUUGAAAAUAAGGACCUACGUGGUUUGCGCCGUAGACCCCGCCCACUGAAGGUGGCAAGCCUAUUUUAAAUUUGAAGUUUUUAUUCUUUCGAAAACUGAGGAUCUGCGCGGCUAGUGACGCAGACCCCGCCCGCUGAGGGUGGGCGAGCCCAUUUUGAUUUUCUUAUUUUGCCUAUGUAGAAGGGCUUUUGUGAUUACAACCUGUUGGUGGGUCGUAAUUUUUCCUGAUUAGAUGUGUCCUAUAAGUGGGUCCACAUUGUGUAUAUUUUUGUUUAACAAUAUCUUUUGAGAUAUCCAAACAUGUUAUGGUGCGUGGCGCGGUCUGGGAAUGUGAUUUUGAUUGCACGCUUUUUGUUGGAGUCCACUUUUCGUGAGCCCCCAAGUGUUGGGGCUCGUUGGUCGUUUUUCGCGUCUUAUAAUCAUGUUUGGGGUCACGCUCGUAUGUGCGAGCGAUCUCCUAUAGUAGUGUGCUAUUUUAGUGAAGCCGUGGAGUGCGACUUUAGCUUUCAGGCGACAUCCGAUUUCGGCUUGGCCCGAAUUAUCCCUUUGACAGACAGACAUUUUCUAUUUGGAAAACCAAUGAUUUGACGAUACAUGUUUUUGGUGUUUCGAAGAAUGACCAUGAUAUUUAACUUGCUUUUUUUUUGAAAAGUGUACAUGAGCGUUUUCUGAGAUGAGUCUAAGUUUCGACCAAGUUUCAAGGUUAUUAUUAUUUUUUUCUUAUUUGGGAGCUAAAGGUGCUUUGGGCUUGAUCUUACUUGUAAUAGGGCCUCGUGCUUUAGCAACACGGUCUUAAGUCCUUUCCUAUUCUGUGUUUUUGCGAAAUCUGGGCCUUGGGCUGUAUUUUCAGCGCCCAAGCUCAGGCGGUAAAAAUUUCGGCGCCCAGAGGUGGGCGCUGAAAGUUCUUUCCUGGUAAUAUUUGAUUUUCGGAUUUCUAAACACGUUUCCGAAUGGGAUCAGGAUGUGUAUUGGGUGCGUUCAGCUAUAUAUAGGGGGUAGGUACGUCCUUAUUUUCCACCUCUCAAAUUUUUUCUCUCUUUUUUGCUGUGCUCUAAUUAUUUACUGCUUUUGCCAUGUCGACGCCUACUUUCUCACUCUAACGGACUGUUAGGCGUUGGCUACGAGCCCUUACUCCCACAGAAAAAGCUUUGUUAAAAGAAUACCAUUUAGAGACACUUUUAGGCUUACAACAAAUUAAUAUUGAUUAUAAUUUUCAGCAUGCUGCCCUAAACUUUUGGGACUCCGAUCAUCAUGUUUUUUCCUUUCGGGGCAAUGAAUUAUGUCAUUUGCCUGAUGAAUUUGCUGCGAUCCUUAGUUAUCCUACUAAUGUUACUCCUGUUACCCCUGACACUAUUGAAGAGGGUAAAACAACAAUAAGGGCUUUCCUAGGGCUAGAUGAUAACAUGUUUGCUGAACUUGUUGUAGACGAUAAGGUUAACUUGGCAAAACUCGUAAAACAUUAUUUUAGGCCUAGUAAGAAUAAGACCGAACAAAAAUUGAACAUUCGAGCCCUUGUAUUUUGCUUGUUGAAUCAUUAUUUGCUGUCGAAUAAUAACGGUGAGUUCGGUGACAUAAAGCUGAUUCCCUU